rnacentral:rRNA from 1 species
AGGCCGCAACUCGCCUGCAUGAACUUGGAGCUGCUAGUAACCGCAGGUCAGCAUACUGCGGUGAAUACGUUCUCGGGCCUUGUACACACCGCCCGUCACGUCAUGGAAGCCGAAAACACUUGAAGUCCGUGAGCUAACCCGCAAGGGAGGCAGCGGCCGAGGGUGGGGUUGGUGACUGGGACGAAGUCGUAACAAGGUAGCUGUACCGGAAGGUGCGGCUGGAUCACCUCCUUU